rnacentral:rRNA from 1 species
UUAAGCGACUAAGCGUACACGGUGGAUGCCCUGGCAGUCAGAGGCGAUGAAGGACGUGCUAAUCUGCGAUAAGCGUCGGUAAGGUGAUAUGAACCGUUAUAACCGGCGAUUUCCGAAUGGGGAAACCCAGUGUGUUUCGACACACUAUCAUUAACUGAAUCCAUAGGUUAAUGAGGCGAACCGGGGGAACUGAAACAUCUAAGUACCCCGAGGAAAAGAAAUCAACCGAGAUUCCCCCAGUAGCGGCGAGCGAACGGGGAGCAGCCCAGAGCCUGAAUCAGUGUGUGUGUUAGUGGAAGCGUCUGGAAAGGCGCGCGAUACAGGGUGACAGCCCCGUACACAAAAAUGCACAUACUGUGAGCUCGAUGAGUAGGGCGGGACACGUGGUAUCCUGUCUGAAUAUGGGGGGACCAUCCUCCAAGGCUAAAUACUCCUGACUGACCGAUAGUGAACCAGUACCGUGAGGGAAAGGCGAAAAGAACCCCGGCGAGGGGAGUGAAAAAGAACCUGAAACCGUGUACGUACAAGCAGUGGGAGCCUCUUUUAUGGGGUGACUGCGUACCUUUUGUAUAAUGGGUCAGCGACUUAUAUUCUGUAGCAAGGUUAACCGAAUAGGGGAGCCGAAGGGAAACCGAGUCUUAACCGGGCGUUAAGUUGCAGGGUAUAGACCCGAAACCCGGUGAUCUAGCCAUGGGCAGGUUGAAGGUUGGGUAACACUAACUGGAGGACCGAACCGACUAAUGUUGAAAAAUUAGCGGAUGACUUGUGGCUGGGGGUGAAAGGCCAAUCAAACCGGGAGAUAGCUGGUUCUCCCCGAAAGCUAUUUAGGUAGCGCCUCGUGAAUUCAUCUCCGGGGGUAGAGCACUGUUUCGGCAAGGGGGUCAUCCCGACUUACCAACCCGAUGCAAACUGCGAAUACCGGAGAAUGUUAUCACGGGAGACACACGGCGGGUGCUAACGUCCGUCGUGAAGAGGGAAACAACCCAGACCGCCAGCUAAGGUCCCAAAGUCAUGGUUAAGUGGGAAACGAUGUGGGAAGGCCCAGACAGCCAGGAUGUUGGCUUAGAAGCAGCCAUCAUUUAAAGAAAGCGUAAUAGCUCACUGGUCGAGUCGGCCUGCGCGGAAGAUGUAACGGGGCUAAACCAUGCACCGAAGCUGCGGCAGCGACACUGUGUGUUGUUGGGUAGGGGAGCGUUCUGUAAGCCUGUGAAGGUGUACUGUAAGGUAUGCUGGAGGUAUCAGAAGUGCGAAUGCUGACAUAAGUAACGAUAAAGCGGGUGAAAAGCCCGCUCGCCGGAAGACCAAGGGUUCCUGUCCAACGUUAAUCGGGGCAGGGUGAGUCGACCCCUAAGGCGAGGCCGAAAGGCGUAGUCGAUGGGAAACAGGUUAAUAUUCCUGUACUUGGUGUUACUGCGAAGGGGGGACGGAGAAGGCUAUGUUGGCCGGGCGACGGUUGUCCCGGUUUAAGCGUGUAGGCUGGUUUUCCAGGCAAAUCCGGAAAAUCAAGGCUGAGGCGUGAUGACGAGGCACUACGGUGCUGAAGCAACAAAUGCCCUGCUUCCAGGAAAAGCCUCUAAGCAUCAGGUAACAUCAAAUCGUACCCCAAACCGACACAGGUGGUCAGGUAGAGAAUACCAAGGCGCUUGAGAGAACUCGGGUGAAGGAACUAGGCAAAAUGGUGCCGUAACUUCGGGAGAAGGCACGCUGAUAUGUAGGUGAAGUCCCUCGCGGAUGGAGCUGAAAUCAGUCGAAGAUACCAGCUGGCUGCAACUGUUUAUUAAAAACACAGCACUGUGCAAACACGAAAGUGGACGUAUACGGUGUGACGCCUGCCCGGUGCCGGAAGGUUAAUUGAUGGGGUCAGCGCAAGCGAAGCUCUUGAUCGAAGCCCCGGUAAACGGCGGCCGUAACUAUAACGGUCCUAAGGUAGCGAAAUUCCUUGUCGGGUAAGUUCCGACCUGCACGAAUGGCGUAAUGAUGGCCAGGCUGUCUCCACCCGAGACUCAGUGAAAUUGAACUCGCUGUGAAGAUGCAGUGUACCCGCGGCAAGACGGAAAGACCCCGUGAACCUUUACUAUAGCUUGACACUGAACAUUGAGCCUUGAUGUGUAGGAUAGGUGGGAGGCUUUGAAGUGUGGACGCCAGUCUGCAUGGAGCCGACCUUGAAAUACCACCCUUUAAUGUUUGAUGUUCUAACGUGGACCCGUGAUCCGGGUUGCGGACAGUGUCUGGUGGGUAGUUUGACUGGGGCGGUCUCCUCCUAAAGAGUAACGGAGGAGCACGAAGGUUGGCUAAUCCUGGUCGGACAUCAGGAGGUUAGUGCAAUGGCAUAAGCCAGCUUGACUGCGAGCGUGACGGCGCGAGCAGGUGCGAAAGCAGGUCAUAGUGAUCCGGUGGUUCUGAAUGGAAGGGCCAUCGCUCAACGGAUAAAAGGUACUCCGGGGAUAACAGGCUGAUACCGCCCAAGAGUUCAUAUCGACGGCGGUGUUUGGCACCUCGAUGUCGGCUCAUCACAUCCUGGGGCUGAAGUAGGUCCCAAGGGUAUGGCUGUUCGCCAUUUAAAGUGGUACGCGAGCUGGGUUUAGAACGUCGUGAGACAGUUCGGUCCCUAUCUGCCGUGGGCGCUGGAGAACUGAGGGGGGCUGCUCCUAGUACGAGAGGACCGGAGUGGACGCAUCACUGGUGUUCGGGUUGUCAUGCCAAUGGCACUGCCCGGUAGCUAAAUGCGGAAGAGAUAAGUGCUGAAAGCAUCUAAGCACGAAACUUGCCCCGAGAUGAGUUCUCCCUGACCCUUUAAGGGUCCUGAAGGAACGUUGAAGACGACGACGUUGAUAGGCCGGGUGUGUAAGCGCAGCGAUGCGUUGAGCUAACCGGUACUAAUGAACCGUGAGGCUUAACCU